GAUCAACACUGAUGUCAUUCAAGCAACAGCUAGAAGACCAACUCUGUCUCCGACUUAUUGAGUUGAAAUGCAUUUAUUUUUCCACUGUUAUGAAAAAAUGCAGAUUUUCCCCUAAGAAGCAUUUUUUUAAUUCAUCGCUUUUUCUUAAAGCCACGUGACAGAAAGCCAGGGCCCAGAUCCUAAGGAGAGGGACCAUCAUGGCACUGUCCAGAUCAGCUUCUUCCACAUGGGAGGGAAAAUGGCUGCUGACGGCUCCCAAGCCUCAAUCCCUUCACCCUUGCCACUGAACUGAAAUGCGAUGCAUUAAAAUGGUCACACACCACGGAUUUUUCUCCUCGCUGCACCCAUGGAGGGAGGCGCUGUCUCCGCCUUUUCCUGUAAGCACCUGCCCGGGGCCCAAGCCCAUAGUGGAUGGGUCGUCCAGCUCAGACAGCGCCCAGGACGCAGUGAGGAAGCAGAAUUGGGCGCUCAAGACUCAGACCCGGCCUGAUGAGCUAAGACUGCUUGCAAGAGGGAGUGGGAGUCGUUAAAAAAAUAUCCUCGUGGCUUAAUG